AGUACGGCGAGUGAAGCGGCAACAGCUCAAAUUUGAAAGCUAGCCUUCGGGUUCGCAUUGUAAUUUGUAGAGGAUGCUUUGGGUAAAACGCCAGUCUAAGUUCCUUGGAACAGGACGUCAUAGAGGGUGAGAAUCCCGUAUGUGACUGGAAAUGUUAACCUAUGUAAAGCUCCUUCGACGAGUCGAGUUGUUUGGGAAUGCAGCUCUAAAUGGGAGGUAAAUUUCUUCUAAAGCUAAAUAUUGGCGAGAGACCGAUAGCGCACAAGUAGAGUGAUCGAAAGAUGAAAAGCACUUUGGAAAGAGAGUUAAAAAGCACGUGAAAUUGUUGAAAGGGAAGCGCUUGCAAUCAGACUUGUUUAAACUGUUCGGCCGGUCUUCUGACCGGUUUACUCAGUUUGGACAGGCCAGCAUCAGUUUCGGCGGCCGGAUAAAGGCUCUGGGAAUGUGGCCUCCACUUCGGUGGAGGUGUUAUAGCCCAGUGUGUAAUACGGCCAGCCGGGACUGAGGUCCGCGCUUCGGCUAGGAUGCUGGCGUAAUGGUUGUAAGCGACCCGUCUUGAAACACGG
rnacentral:rRNA from 1 species